AUUGAACGCUAGCGGGAUGCUUAACACAUGCAAGUCGAACGAGUGGCGGACGGGUGAGUAAUAUCUCGGAAAGUGCCCAAUCGCGGGGGAUAACUACUGGAAAGAGUGGCUAAUACCGCAUACUAUUAGAUAGGCCGAUCUCGGAUUAGCUAGUGGGUGGGGUAAUGGCUCACCAAGGCAACGAUCCGUAGCUGGUUUGAGAGGAAGACCAGCCACACUGGAACUGAGACACGGCCCAGAUGCCUACGGGAGGCAGCAGUGGGGAAUUUUGGACAAGGGGGGAAAUCCUGAUGCAGCCAUCCCGCGUGGUUGAGAAGGCCUUCGGGUUGUAAAGUACUUUUGGCAGGGAGGCGGUACCGGCAGAAUAAGCACCGGCUAACUACGUGCCAGCAGCCGCGGUAAUAC
rnacentral:rRNA from 1 species